GGUUAAGCUACUAAGGGCGCACGGUGGAUGCCUAGGCGCUGGGAGCCGAUGAAGGGCGCGGCAAACGGCGAAACGCCUCGGGGAGCCGUAAGCAGGCGUUGAUCCGGGGAUUCCCGAAUGGGGCAACCCCCUGUCCCUAAUCGGACAGGAUCCAUCUUCCGAAUCCAUAGGAGAUGGAGGGCACACCAGGGGAACUGAAACAUCUUAGUACCCUGAGGAGAAGAAAGCAACCGCGAUUCCCUGAGUAGCGGCGAGCGAAAGGGGAACAGCCCAAACCGGUGGGCUUGCCCGCCGGGGUUGUAGGACGUCCCAUACGGAGUGACAAAGGACGAGGAUAGGCGAACACGUCUGGAAAGGCGGGCCAUAGAGUGUGACAGCCACGUAGCCGAAAUCUUCGUCCCUCCGGGACGGAUCCUGAGUACGGCGGGACACGUGAAAUCCCGUCGGAAUCCGGGAGGACCAUCUCCCAAGGCUAAAUACUCCCCAGCGACCGAUAGUGAACCAGUACCGUGAGGGAAAGGUGAAAAGCACCCCGGGAGGGGAGUGAAAGAGAACCUGAAACCGUGUGCCUACAACCAGUCGGAGCACGAUGCCCGUCAGGGCUGUGUGACGGCGUGCCUUUUGUAGAAUGAACCGGCGAGUUACGGUCUCGUGCGAGGUUAAGCCGAAGAGGCGGAGCCGCAGCGAAAGCGAGUCUGAACAGGGCGCAAAGGGUU
rnacentral:ncRNA from 1 species